AUCCCAUGGUGAAGGCAUUUACAUAGUAGCUCUUUAAAUCUUUCCCAUGCCUUGUAUAAGGAUUCGUCACUCAUUUUCUAAAAAAUGGUAAUCUCAUUCUACAACU
rfam:Gossypium hirsutum cultivar TM-1 unplaced genomic scaffold scaffold2678.1, whole genome shotgun sequence